rnacentral:rRNA from 1 species
GACGAACGCUGGCGGCGUGCUUAACACAUGCAAGUCGAACGAAGAGCGAUGGAAGCUUGCUUCUAUCAAUCUUAGUGGCGAACGGGUGAGUAACGCGUAAUCAACCUGCCCUUCAGAGGGGGACAACAGUUGGAAACGACUGCUAAUACCGCAUACGAUCUAAUCUCGGCAUCGAGGAUAGAUGAAAGGUGGCCUCUACAUGUAAGCUAUCACUGAAGGAGGGGAUUGCGUCUGAUUAGCUAGUUGGGGGGGUAACGGCCCACCAAGGCGAUGAUCAGUAGCCGGUCUGAGAGGAUGAACGGCCACAUUGGGACUGAGACACGGCCCAGACUCCUACGGGAGGCAGCAGUGGGGAAUCUUCCGCAAUGGACGAAAGUCUGACGGAGCAACGCCGCGUGAGUGAUGACGGCCUUCGGGUUGUAAAGCUCUGUUAAUCGGGACGAAAGGCCUUCUUGCGAAUAGGGAGAAGGAUUGACGGUACCGGAAUAGAAAGCCACGGCUAACUACGUG